CAGGCACGUAUGUUGGGGAACCCCAGC
rnacentral:piRNA from 1 species